GAUGUAUGGGGAUGGCUCGUUAGCCUUCCUCCAGCCUCAUAAUGGAAUUCAGAUACCCAAUGCUUCUGCAUUUAUAGAUCAGAACCAUCUCAGCCAUCCUUGAACCUUAGAGUCAUUAGAAAUAUUCAUGGCCAUAACCCACAUGUAAUUUUCUCCCUUACAGCAUAUUUCAACUCUCACAUAACUCUUUGAUCUUCUAAUUCCUUGCACAUCAAAGAAAUCAUAGACAAGUCUUUUGAUUCAAAAACCAUGCAGCUUCUUCUAUGUGGCAUAAUUGCAGGGGUCCUCAAAUAUGAAUCAUACAAGAAAUCUUCCAUUUCUAUUCCUGGAAUGCUAAUUGACAAGGAUUGCAAAGAUAUAUUCAACCUAGCUCUUCUUACUUUAGCUCUCCUAGUAUCAGAGUAUGUAUCUAUGAAGCUCCCCAAGAUCUACGAUUUCGAAGCAUAGAAGAAUUGAGUCUUCGAUUAUACAGAAGAAACUCACAAGAAUCAAUGAAGCAACUGGUAAGAAUCCUUGGCUCCAACCUUGAAGAACAAUGGAUGAGAUCAGUGAACUUAGGCCAUAACAAAUUGGAUCAUGGAGAACAGGAGUUCAAAUCUAUCUUUAAGCUUGCCAUCACCUUUCUUUGCUUAAUCCUUUUCAACUGUUGGGCUAUGGAAAGUUCAACUAUAUUGCCCAAUUACAGCCAUGAUUUCCAACAAUCAAGGUAAUAACACACAUGAUAGCCGUUUGAAUUUCUCUCUGAACUACCAACAGCUUGAAGGUGUGAUACAAUUCACUUACAAAGUCAUAUUUCGCGAGUACUGGAUUGAUGUGGUGGUUAAAGUAGAUAAUAUAAGGUGUGAUGUGAACCAGCUUGUUUCUGAAAAGUUGAUGUCAAAACAAGGCUAUGGAUCUGAAGAAAAGCACUUCCCUUCCCGAAUCUUGCUGCAACUAGCCCCAACUCUUCAGACUGAUGUAAUUUCAGUUUCAGUAAGUAAAUCUUCUGAUAACCCACUCCAUGAAGUUGGAGUAGAGAAAGGAGUUGAGGGCUCAUUUGAACCACCAGGCUCCUAUUUGGGGCUUAAAGUUUCAGCGUCUGAAACUGUUACUCUGGCCAUUAAACCAUGGAAGUUUGAGCAAUCUGUGCAUGGAGACAGUGCUGCCUUGAAUUGGUUUCUUCAUGAUGGAGUCAAUGGAAGGGAAGUUUUCUCCACAAAGCCACCAAAAAUGGCAAUUUUUCGACCAAGAUCAUGGUUUAGAAACCGCUACUCGAGCGCUUAUCGUCCUUUUACAAGACAAGGAGGGGUGAUUUUUGCUGGAGAUGAAUAUGGAGAAAGUGUGUGGUGGAAAAUAUGCAGGGGAGGAAAAGGCAAGAGAAUGGAUUGGGAGAUCUGUGGUAAAGUGUGGUUAACUUAUUGGCCUAAUAAGCAUAGGACCUUUUACAGUGAAACAAGGAUGUUGGAGUUCAAAGAAUUGCUGCAUAUAAAUCUUGAAACGUAGAAUAAGAUUUGUGUU